rnacentral:rRNA from 1 species
ACGGAGGAUGCGAGCGUUAUCCGGAUUCAUUGGGUUUAAAGGGUGCGUAGGCGGACUAUUAAGUCAGUGGUGAAAUCCUGCAGCUUAACUGCAGAACUGCCAUUGAUACUGUUAGACUUGAGUUAGGAUAAGGUAGACGGAAUGCGUAGUGUAAGGGUUAAAUUUUUAGAUAUGACGAAGAACACCGACGGCGAAGGCAGUUUACUGAUCCUGUAUUGACGCUGAAUUGCGAAAGCGUGGGGAGCGAACAG